rnacentral:rRNA from 1 species
UAUCAAUAAGCGGAGGAAAAGAAACUAACAAGGAUUCCCCUAGUAACUGCGAGUGAAGCGGGAAAAGCUCAAAUUUAAAAUCUGGUGGUCUUUGGCCAUCCGAGUUGUAAUUUAGAGAAGCGUCUUCCGCGCUGGACCGUGCACAAGUCUCCUGGAAUGGAGCGUCAUAGAGGGUGAGAAUCCCGUCUUUGGCAUGGAAUCCCAGGGCUUCUGUGAUGCGCUCUCGACGAGUCGAGUUGUUUGGGAAUGCAGCUCAAAAUGGGUGGUGAACUCCAUCUAAAGCUAAAUAUUGGCGAGAGACCGAUAGCGAACAAGUACCGUGAGGGAAAGAUGAAAAGCACUUUGGAAAGAGAGUGAAACAGUACGUGAAAUUGUUGAAAGGGAAACGCUUGAAGUCAGUCGCGUCGACCGAGACUCAGCCUCGCCUCGGCUUGGUGUACUUCUCGGCUGACGGGUCAGCAUCGAUUUUGAUCCUCGGAUAAUGGCGAGGGAAAGGUAGCACCUUUUUAGGUGUGUUAUAGUCCUCUGUCGCAUGCGAGGGCCAGGAUCGAGGAACUCAGCACGCACCUCAGGGUGUCGGGGCCUUGGCCCACGUUUACGUGCUUAGGAUGCUGGCGUAAUGGCUUUAAACGACC